CCUACGGGAGGCAGCAGUGGGGAAUAUUGGACAAUGGGGGGAACCCUGAUCCAGCCAUGCCGCGUGUGUGAAGAAGGCCCUCGGGUUGUAAAGCACUUUCAGUGAGGAAGAACGCCUGGUGGUUAAUACCCAUCAGGAAAGACAUCACUCACAGAAGAAGCACCGGCUAACUCCGUGCCAGCAGCCGCGGUAAUACGGAGGGUGCGAGCGUUAAUCGGAAUUACUGGGCGUAAAGCGCGCGUAGGUGGCUUGAUAAGCCGGUUGUGAAAGCCCCGGGCUCAACCUGGGAACGGCAUCCGGAACUGUCAAGCUAGAGUGCAGGAGAGGAAGGUAGAAUUCCCGGUGUAGCGGUGAAAUGCGUAGAGAUCGGGAGGAAUACCAGUGGCGAAGGCGGCCUUCUGGACUGACACUGACGCUGAGGUGCGAAAGCGUGGGUAGCAAACAGGAUUAGAUACCCGAGUAGUC
rnacentral:rRNA from 1 species